rnacentral:misc_RNA from 1 species
GAUGAAGAACGUAGCGAAAUGCGAUAAGUAAUGUGAAUUGCAGAAUUCAGUGAAUCAUCGAAUCUUUGAACGCACAUUGCGCCCGCCAGUAUUCUGGCGGGCAUGCCUGUUCGAGCGUCAUUACAACCCUCAGGCCUCCGGGCCUGGCGUUGGGGAUCGGCGGAGCCCCCCGUGGGCACACGCCGUCCCCCAAAUACAGUGGCGGUCCCGCCGCAGCUUCCAUCGCGUAGUAGCUAACACCUCGCGACUGGAGAGCGGCGCGGCCACGCCGUAAAACACCCAACUCUUCUGAAGUUGACCUCGAAUCAGGUAGGAAUACCCGCUGAACUUAAGCAUAUCAAUAAGCGGAGGA